rnacentral:snRNA from 1 species
AAACUGCAAUUUUCAAAUCUCAAA